CAUGGUGUGCGGGGAGGGGGCUUCGGGACCUCUUGGAAAGAGGUCCCUCCUCCGGUUCAGUUCCGGGCCAGCGUGG
rnacentral:tRNA from 1 species